rnacentral:rRNA from 1 species
GAUGAACGCUGGCGGCGUGCUUAACACAUGCAAGUCGAACGGAAAGGCCCAAGCUUGCUUGGGUACUCGAGUGGCGAACGGGUGAGUAACACGUGGGUGAUCUGCCCUGCACUUCGGGAUAAGCCUGGGAAACUGGGUCUAAUACCGGAUAGGACGAUGGUUUGGAUGCCAUUGUGGAAAGUUUUUUCGGUGUGGGAUGAGCUCGCGGCCUAUCAGCUUGUUGGUGGGGUAAUGGCCUACCAAGGCGUCGACGGGUAGCCGGCCUGAGAGGGUGUACGGCCACAUUGGGACUGGGAUACGGCCCAGACUCCUACGGGAGGCAGCAGUGGGGAAUAUUGCACAAUGGGCGCGAGCCUGAUGCAGCGACGCCGCGUGGGGGAUGACGGCCUUCGGGUUGUAAACUCCUUUCGCUAGGGACGAAGCGUUUUUGUGACGGUACCUGGAGAAGAAGCACCGGCUAACUACGUG